CGCCUGUUUAUUAAAAACAUGGCUUUUUGCGAGAUUGAAAUAAAAAGUCGUACCUGCCCGGUGACUUAUAGUUUAACGGCCGCAGUUGUCCUGUGCUAAGGUAGCAUAAUAAUUAGCUCUUUAAUUGGGGGAAAGUAUGAAUGGUUUGACGUGGAAAUACUGUCUUUAAUGUAAUUAAGAGAAAUUUUUUUAUAGGUGAAAAAACCUAAAUAUUUGUAAAAGACGAGAAGACCCUAUCGAACUGAAUUAGAAGAAUAGUAAUUGUAUAAAUAUAUAAUUAAUGUGUUUUUGAAUUUUUGUUGGGGUAACAAAAGACUAAAAUUAACGUCCUUUUAUUAAAUAAAGAUCCUAUUUGAUAGAAAAAAGCAACAGUUACCGUAGGGAUAACAGCGUAAUAUCUUUCUAAGAGAUCUUAUUGAGGAAAGGGUGUGCGACCUCGAUGUUGAAUUAAAGAAACUUUAUGGUUGUAGAAGCUAUAAAAGUAAGACUGUUCGUCUUUUAAAUCUUUACAUGAUCUGAGUUCAGACCGG
rnacentral:rRNA from 1 species